rnacentral:rRNA from 1 species
UUGGUCCUACGGGAGGCAGCAGUGGGGAAUAUUGCACAAUGGGCGAAAGCCUGAUGCAGCAACGCCGCGUGAAGGAAGAAGGGUUUCGGCUCGUAAACUUUUAUCAACAGGGACGAAAGAAAUGACGGUACCUGAAUAAGAAGCCCCGGCUAACUACGUGCCAGCAGCCGCGGUAAUACGUAGGGGGCAAGCGUUAUCCGGAAUUACUGGGUGUAAAGGGGGAGUAGGCGGCAUGGUAAGCCAGAUGUGAAAGCCUUGGGCUUAACCCAAGGAUUGCAUUUGGAACUAUCAAGCGAGAGUACAGG